rnacentral:lncRNA from 1 species
GCUUGUUUGAAAAACCUUGAUCCAAGUUUACACGCAAUGCCAAACUUAGACCAGAUCCAUGCUUUGGUUCAACACUAUGGUCCGAGAGUCUUCUUUCACCCUGAUGAAGUCUAUUUACCUUCGUCAGUCUCUUGGUUCUUCAAGAACGGUGCCGUUUUGUGCAGCUCUGAUAACCAAGAACCUGUUGAUGAAAAUGGCUCCAACUUGCCUCAUGGUGGAGCCAAUGAUAAACAGUUCUGGAUUGAUUUGCCCAAUAAUUAUGAACAGAGAAACAAGUUUCUGAAGCAGGGAAAUCUAGAAUCCGCCAAGCUCUACGUUCACGUUAAGCCAGCGUUUGGAGGAACGUUUACUGAUCUUGUGUUUUGGAUUUUCUGUCCUUUUAACGGUCCAGCGACUCUAAAGCUCGGCCUCGUGAACCUCUCAUUGGCCAAAACCGGUCAACACGUUUGUGACUGGGAGCAUUUCACUCUCCGGAUCAGCAACUUCUCCGGCGAGCUUCACGCUGUUUACUUCUCUCAGCAUAGCGGGGGAGAGUGGGUCGAAGCUCAAGAUCUGGAGUUCGUGGACGGAAGCAAUAAAGCUGUGGUUUACUCGUCCAAGCAUGGUCACGCCAGCUUUGCCAGGUCCGGGAUGUAUUUACAGGGGUCAGAUUUGCUUGGGAUUGGGAUAAGGAACGAUACAGCGAGAAGCGAUUUGUUUGUGGAUUCGUGUUCCAAGUAUGAGGUUGUUGCGGCGGAGUAUCUCGGAGGGGCGGUGGUGGAGCCGCCGUGGCUUGGUUAUAUGAGAGAGUGGGGACCGAAGAUUGUGUAUGGAUCGAGAACGGAGAUUGAGAGGUUGAAUGAGAGAUUACCAUGGAGGCUGAGGUGUUGGGUUGAUGCAGUGUUGAGGAAGCUUCCGGUGGAGUUAUCAGGCGAAGAAGGACCAACGGGACCCAAGGAGAAGAAUAAUUGGUUUGGUGAUGAGAGAUGGUGAAUGGUGAUUGUUUUCCCGUUGGAACAGAAACCUCUAUUUUUGUAAUGAGCUAAUUAAUAUGUGUGAUAUAUAGUGUUUUACUUGCCACCAAAAUCUGUUAAUGGGUCCUUCCUUGUCAAGUGACCAAAUAGUAAAAUAAAAAUUUAUAUAGUAGUUUUUUUUUGUGAAAGAUAUAUUAAUCAAUUAUAAAAUUUUAUAUGGUAUCUAUUUAUCUAUAUAUAUAAAUAUAAAUAUAUAUAAAGUUGACUUGUGUGAUGCACACAGCCCUCCACAUCAUCAGAAAGCAUGGGGCUUUUUCUGCCACGUGUCAUGUCAAUAUUUAAGCAUUUCGUGUUUAUGUUUCGGUGAGUUACGUUGAGUGGGCCAAGUAUUGUGUCUGAAAAAUUCAUCGGGUUCUGUUACUGUUUUCAUACAGGCCCAGAUGUUAAUAGUUUCUUUUCCUUUUGUUGGAGACGCAAAGCAAAGCCGCCGAUGAUGAUUUUGGCCGACAGUCUUCUCUGUGUGAAACGUUAACGGUCCAGCUUCUCCUCCUCAUUGAUGAUUCUGAGAAACGUCUGCAGUUAUGGUAUUCAAUCAACUUCGUCCACUUCUUGAGCUUCAAUUCAUCGAUACAAUAUUUCUAGACUCUCUGUUCAGUUUUCUCUUGGAGAUGUUAAGUCUGUACGCUUCGUGGAGAUUUUUCUUUCAUCUCUGCUAGAGAUUUUAUUGGUAAAUUUUCUCAUCUGGGUCAUUUGAAUGCAAGAAACAAUCUCUAGAACUAUAUCUUGUGGAGUUGUGGGUAUAGAAAAAGAAUCUGUCAUUUUGAACUCUGUUUGUGUAUAUUUCUCAGCUCAGCAAAGUCAGAUUUUUUGGGAACUCAUAUUCCAUGUGAAGAUAUAUUAUCAACAUAUAUCUCUCUUGGAAAGGGCCUCCCAAUCUCCCAUCAAUAGAACCUCAAUGGGAUGAAUGGGUCGGUGAUGUUAAUGACAAAAUUAAUUGUGUUAAGCGAAUCUAAUCGACAACAGCAACCGUUUGCCAGUGAUGUCUUCAUUGUUUUUAGAUAGAGAAAGAUCGACAUGAAGGCGGCGAUGUGAUCUCACGGGAAAAAAGUAGAGUGACGUCGUUAACCUAAGUUAAGCGAGGCCCAAUUUUAGAAAGCCCACAUAAAUAACACACACGUUUAAAUGAAACGCAAAACUUUGGUUACCUGGACACGUGUUGGCUCCUCCUUGCACGACUUUCUGACGUGGUGGAUGACGUGGCGUGUCCAGGAGAGAGGAAACCUUACUUUAUAUAUAAAGAUUCGUCCGCUAUUAAAACGCAUUUUUCUUGUAGUGUAACUCUCUCAUUUACAAAUCAUUCUUAAUCGUCUUCCCUCUUAAACUCCCCAUCACCAUCUUUGCAUCAUACCACAGAGAAAAUCAAGGAAGCAUAAGACAAACUCAUGAGGGAAAUUCCAAGAAUCAUAGUCACUAUGGAGACGACAUUGAUAAAAACUUCUUUUUAGCAUCUUAAGCUGGCUAUAUAAUAUGUAAGGAAUCCAAUAUGUAAUUAACUGAUUUGUAGAACCUUUUCCUGGACUUAGAAAUGAACUGAAAAAUAACGUUGCAGAGCUUAUGCUUUACAUCCUUAACAAUAUGCAUACCAAAUCCCAAACAAUAUAUUCACUUGCAAGUUAAAAAAAAUAACAUUAAAUUUAAUGAGAAAGAACAAAGAUUAAUAUUAAAUGUUAACCAAAGUGGAUUCAAAUGUUUUUGAAAGAGAAAUACAAAGAUAUUUUCAGAACAGAUUCAAAUUAAUCAAAGAUGAAACUGGUACACGAACACUCCUAAACAAUUACUGAUGAAAGCUUCUUGAUACAAUUCUCUACAACAUAUCUGAAGAAAACAUACCAGACUUUUUUUUUGUCACAAUCAUACCAGACUUAAAAACUUGACUAAUAGUAAGAAAGAUCUAAAUACGGCUCAUCAACUAUAGCCAAUCAAACUUGGAAGUUAGCUAUAUCUCAGAAAAAUGUGUUUUGCUGUUUAAAAAGAUUGAUAAGAUUAUUGUAAGAGAAAGAAAGCUGACCUAUUUAUACGCUCAGGUUCACCGACUCCUAAUCAAAGCAUGCAUUUAAGGCUACAUCGUGGUGACUGAAGUAAUGGAGAAUAAUCACGAAGAAGAAACAAAUGGAUGCGUUUUAAUGCCACAAAUGAUUCAGAUGAAGAUAAAAAGUCUCCACAACGAAGAAGGAGAGAACAACGCCAUAAGCUAGGGUUUUCUUAUUCAGGUUACGUGCAUGUAUUAAAUCAACCGCAUCCCACCACUUUCCUAGCCCAUACAUACAAAACCAAAUAAAUUCAACAGAAAAUCUAAAUAUAAAAUGGGACACGUGUCACUUUCUGGUGAGCCGACUUUCUGACGUGAAAUCUGACGUGGCAUCAUCAGGAGAGAGUAAACACUCCAUUAUAAUAAUAGAUGCUCAUUGUGUAAUCAUAACUCUUCUCUUAUGACCACAUUUUAAAACAAAAUAUACCAUAUUAUACAAUAGGUAGAACAAUACAUAAUAACUAAUUUUAUGUCAUAAUAGUGCAUUACAAUAGUAUAUUAUUAUAACAUAAGUAGCUAUAUGCCUAUAUCAACUCUCACAUACUAUACUAUUCCAUUUUAAUUUUUUUUACAUAAACAUUUAUUUUUAUAUAUAAAAAAUGAAUCAGUGUUUCAAAGAAAAAGAAAUUAACAUGUUCAUAUAGUUUCUUAUAUUACUUUAAAAUUAAAAAAACUACCCAGUCUAAAUCACAAGUUUGAAUCACAUCUUAUUAGAGAUAACUUUUUCACAUAUUAUUGGUUUCAUAUUGGAAGCCUAUUUAACUCAACACAUACUAAGCCUAUAAAAAAAAAGGGGUAAGAUUCUUAUGCGUCAAGGUAGCUUCUGCCUGUACGAUCGUUGCAUACUACUGUGAAAAAUGAAAAUGUGGGUGUGUUUAAUUUUCAUGAAAAUAAUUUUUUUUUAUUAUUUAAUUUUUGUGGGAUUAAGAAUUAUCCGAAAAGUAAAUCGAGAUGUCUGGAUGAUUGGGACCCAACAAGCUUUGAUAUGUGUCGGUUUGAUUAGUAUGGUUUCCCGAACCAUCGGAUGAUCUCAGCGAGAGAGAGAGAGAUAGGAAUGUUUGGGUGCAAGUGUCUCUGUUGGAACAAUCUCACAGAAUUUCCGUCAUUGAAGCAACCCCAAACCUUCUCCCUCCCUGCUUCUCUUCCCCACUGGCCUUCUGGUAAUUUCUCAAUUGUGAUCCCUUCUUUCUUUGAAUCUUCUAAUUCAUGAUUCCGAUCUAGAAACAAAUUCUGGAUUUAGCAACUUUAAUGAUAUGAUUUGAUCCAAUCCACCAAGAAUUAUGAACAAUUUUAUUUUUUUAUCGAAACAUUCCACUUUUUGUCACUUUAUAAUGCUUCAAUUGGUUAGGUCAAGGCUUUGCUUCAGGAAGAAUCAAUCUUGGAGACUUAGAAGUAGCCGAGAUCACAUCAUUUGAAUUGAUAUGGCGAUACGUCUCUCCUCGAGACAAGAACAAGUCUGUCUCGUUCUACAGACCCGACAACUUACCCGACAGUUUCCACUGUUUAGGACACUACUGUCAGCCUGAUUCCCACCUCUUGAGAGGUUUUGUUCUUGUAGCUAGAGACAUCGUCAAGUCUGCACUUGCAAAGCCACUUGAUUAUACAUUGGUCUGGAGCUCAAACGACUUAUCAGAAGACGAACCUAAAACCGAGGGCUGCGGUUACUUCUGGUUACCGAAGCCUCCUCGAGGGUAUAAACCGGUCGGAUUCUUGGUUACAACGAGUCCCACGAAACCUGAUUUGGAUCAAGUUAGAUGUGUUCGAGCUGAUCUAACCGAUAAAUGUGAAGCACAUAGAGUUAUUAUCACUGCUUUAUCGGAUUCUUUAAGAGUUCCUUUGUUUAUAUGGAAAACGAGACCUUCAGACCGCGGAAUGUGGGGAAAAGGAGUCUCUGCAGGUACAUUCUUUUGUAGAACUCCGUUGAUGAUCUCCACCGAGGAGAUGGAAGAAGAAGAAGAAGAUCGUCUCUGUAACAACAUCGCUUGUUUGAAAAACCUUGAUUCGAGUUUACACGCAAUGCCAAACUUAGACCAGAUCCAUGCUUUGGUUCAACACUAUGGUCCCAGAGUCUUCUUCCACCCUGAUGAAGUCUAUUUACCUUCGUCAGUCUCUUGGUUCUUCAAGAACGGUGCCGUUUUGUGCAGCGCUGAUAACCAAGAACCUGUUGAUGAAAACGGCUCCAACUUGCCUCAUGGUGGAGCCAAUGAUAAACAGUUUUGGAUUGAUUUGCCGAAUAAUGAUGAACAGAGAAACAAGUUUCUGAAGCGAGGAGAUCUAGAAUCCGCC